UACGUAGGUGGCAAGCGUUGUCCGGAUUUACUGGGUGUAAAGGGCGUGCAGCCGGAGAGACAAGUCAGAUGUGAAAUCCACGGGCUCAACCCGUGAACUGCAUUUGAAACUGUUUCCCUUGAGUGUCGGAAAGGUAAUCGGAAUUCCUUGUGUAGCGGUGAAAUGCGUAGAUAUAAGGAAGGACACCAGUGGCGAAGGCGGAUUACUGGACGAUAACUGACGGUGAGGCGCGAAAGCGUGGGGAGCAAACAGG
rnacentral:rRNA from 1 species